GAUGGAGACGUGCUGGGUUGCUUGUG
rnacentral:piRNA from 1 species